GACGAACGCUGGCGGCGUGCUUAACACAUGCAAGUCGAACGGAAAGGCCCUGCUUUUGUGGGGUGCUCGAGUGGCGAACGGGUGAGUAACACGUGAGUAACCUGCCCUUGACUUUGGGAUAACUUCAGGAAACUGGGGCUAAUACCGGAUAGGAGCUCCUGCUGCAUGGUGGGGGUUGGAAAGUUUCGGCGGUUGGGGAUGGACUCGCGGCUUAUCAGCUUGUUGGUGGGGUAGUGGCUUACCAAGGCUUUGACGGGUAGCCGGCCUGAGAGGGUGACCGGACACAUUGGGACUGAGAUACGGCCCAGACUCCUGCGGGAGGCAGCAGUGGGGAAUAUUGCACAAUGGGCGGAAGCCUGAUGCAGCAACGCCGCGUGCGGGAUGACGGCCUUCGGGUUGUAAACCGCUUUCGCCUGUGACGAAGCGUGAGUGACGGUAAUGGGUAAAGAAGCACCGGCUAACUACGUG
rnacentral:rRNA from 1 species